AUCCCAGCCGUACAGAGCAGUGAGUGAGCAGUACCCGCUCAGAGGGCUGGUGGUCAGCUUGUCUGCUCUUCACUCGUUCUGCUCAUCUGGUGCUCAAAUGCUAAUGGCACAGAGAGCUGACACAGACCGUGUCAGGAGAACAUGGGGAGAAACCCUGCUGUGGGCCCAUGCCCAUAAGGAGAACCAAAACCUCAUGCUAAAUUAGGAGAGAGCAACAUGGCAGCAGCUGGAACGAAUUGUGCCUUUGGUGUCAGGGUGUCAGCGACAUAGCUCACACUUAUAAACAGCCACACUGAAAAAAGCACCACUGGGAAUAGAAACGAUGUCUUAAUGCUUGGAAAUGACAUAUGCUACAUUCUUGUUAAAAGAAAAAAACAGUAUUAUGAAAAAAUGGAUGCCUUGAAAGCCAAAUCCUAAUUCAAAAUGUAUGUGAAGGAUUGCUGCCAUUUUACUUUAUGAACAUAUUAGAGACAGGUGGAUGAGGCAAAUAUGAAAUUUUAAAAACUGCCUGAAAGAAGUAUGCCCUUUCAGAAAACAACCAGGCAAGCAACUUGAAAAUGGUUUUCAAAAUGGCAAAAACAUUUUUGACACAAGCUUCUUCCCGGAGAACAUCAAGAUAGUCAAGUGAAAGCUGGUAAAGCUAGAGCACUGGAUAUCUUCCACAAUGUUGUCUAUAAACGUCAACACCAACCUACCAAAAUAAAAUCUGCAGCUGUAUGUCACCACCAAGAUAACAACAGGCAACCUACCUUCAAAAGCUAAGCUGGGACACAUUUCCAAGUUUAAAUCUAACUUUUGAGGAGUCUUUAUGUUGAACUGGGGCACAACCCCUGAGUUUAGAACUAUAGAGACAUUUGUGCUGACAUUUGGUAAAUGAGUGAAAUAUUUUUGAAAAUUCUUUGUCCUGAGACACCAAGUUAACUCUGUUUUCACAAGAAUUUACAAAACUCCAAGUGUUACAAUAAUUUAAUCCACUUGCACUGCAUAUAUGAAGGAUAUGGCAUACAGACAACCCACAGCUGCCCUUAGUUUAACUACCCUAUGAAGUUCCAGUAUGGUUUUUCCUAGAAGUCAAGAUGAGAACAGGAUGUAUAUACAACCCUGUGGUUUCUCUACUAAUAACUCUCUUGUUAGCUAAUGUUUUAUAGGAUCUUGUUUUUUGUCAUCCUUUAGACUAACAGGACAAUUUUUUUAAAAAAAAGCCUCUAUCUGAGAAUUUAGCUGGUAGAUUUGUGUUCUAGUCAUUGAAUUUGCUGAAGCUUAACACCUGUUCCAUAUGUAUCACAUUAAAACAUUCCUCCAAGAUGAGCGUU